rnacentral:rRNA from 1 species
UUGACCUCGGAUCGUA